rnacentral:rRNA from 1 species
CUUUAACACUGAGGCGUGACGACGAGGCACUACGGUGCUGAAGCAACAAAUGCCCUGCUUCCAGGAAAAGCCUCUAAGCAUCAGGUAACAUCAAAUCGUACCCCAAACCGACACAGGUGGUCAGGUAGAGAAUACCAAGGCGCUUGAGAGAACUCGGGUGAAGGAACUAGGCAAAAUGGUGCCGUAACUUCGGGAGAAGGCACGCUGACACGUAGGUGAAGUGAUUUACUCAUGGAGCUGAAGUCAGUCGAAGAUACCAGCUGGCUGCAACUGUUUAUUAAAAACACAGCACUGUGCAAACACGAAAGUGGACGUAUACGGUGUGACGCCUGCCCGGUGCCGGAAGGUUAAUUGAUGGGGUCAGCGCAAGCGAAGCUCCUGAUCGAAGCCCCGGUAAACGGCGGCCGUAACUAUAACGGUCCUAAGGUAGCGAAAUUCCUUGUCGGGUAAGUUCCGACCUGCACGAAUGGCGUAAUGAUGGCCAGGCUGUCUCCACCCGAGACUCAGUGAAAUUGAACUCGCUGUGAAGAUGCAGUGUACCCGCGGCAAGACGGAAAGACCCCGUGAACCUUUACUAUAGCUUGACACUGAACAUUGAGCCUUGAUGUGUAGGAUAGGUGGGAGGCUUUGAAGUGUGGACGCCAGUCUGCAUGGAGCCGACCUUGAAAUACCACCCUUUAAUGUUUGAUGUUCUAACGUGGACCCGUUACCCGGGUUGCGGACAGUGUCUGGUGGGUAGUUUGACUGGGGCGGUCUCCUCCUAAAGAGUAACGGAGGAGCACGAAGGUUGGCUAAUCCUGGUCGGACAUCAGGAGGUUAGUGCAAUGGCAUAAGCCAGCUUGACUGCGAGCGUGACGGCGCGAGCAGGUGCGAAAGCAGGUCAUAGUGAUCCGGUGGUUCUGAAUGGAAGGGCCAUCGCUCAACGGAUAAAAGGUACUCCGGGGAUAACAGGCUGAUACCGCCCAAGAGUUCAUAUCGACGGCGGUGUUUGGCACCUCGAUGUCGGCUCAUCACAUCCUGGGGCUGAAGUAGGUCCCAAGGGUAUGGCUGUUCGCCAUUUAAAGUGGUACGCGAGCUGGGUUUAGAACGUCGUGAGACAGUUCGGUCCCUAUCUGCCGUGGGCGCUGGAGAACUGAGGGGGGCUGCUCCUAGUACGAGAGGACCGGAGUGGACGCAUCACUGGUGUUCGGGUUGUCAUGCCAAUGGCACUGCCCGGUAGCUAAAUGCGGAAGAGAUAAGUGCUGAAAGCAUCUAAGCACGAAACUUGCCCCGAGAUGAGUUCUCCCUGAGACUUAGAGUCUCCUGAAGGAACGUUGAAGACGACGACGUUGAUAGGCCGGGUGUGUAAGCGCAGCGAUGCGUUGAGCUAACCGGUACUAAUGAACCGUGAGGCUUAACCUUACAACGCCGAAG